ensembl:lncRNA
GUGCUUCUGGAGGAAUUUAACAAGGUGUUGCAUGUUUUUAAUGAGGAAGGCCUUUUAGACUUCUUUCAUAAGCAUCAAUCAGUUUUCAAAAGCUAUGACAGUGCCAUCAUGUUGCAUAGCAGACGGCUGAAACAACCCACAGGUUAUCACCAAGAAAAGCUCUCAGCAACAACGACAGACCGGCGGGGCAGAAGAGUAGGAGUACCACCUGAGCCCAUGGAGAUAAGCAGCAUUGAAAAGGAGGUAAUCAAGAAGACUCCUCCCUCUCUUUUAUACUACCCACACAGGAUAGUGGACCUGCCUGGUCUUGGGAGUAGGCUGAAGGCCCCAAACAGGAAGAAUCUUUUAACCCCGACCUCUUUACUACGGACACUUUUUGUUUCAUGCGUCCACGUCCACUGGGUCGCUGAAGUGUAAGUGACCAAUUUGGGACGAUACAUUUUUUGAAUUUGGUGCAGCAUUGAGAUGGAAAGUGUUCCCUCUCAGUAGUGUUGGGGCACUCACCAUGUGUUGGAAAUAAGGUCUUUUUAUGAAGAUUAAACCAAGACCGUAACCACACCUGCGGGGGAUUUUUAGUCCCAAACUCGGCACCGAUUUGUCAUUGGAAGAGGGCCACAGACCCAACGGGGGAUGCUCGCGUUAAGGCCUCGACGUCACUGUGACUUUAAACAACAAGCCCACCUCCAGCGCCUUCAGUCUGACUCAAGUUGGUGGAGGCAGGUGAAGAAACAACGUUAGUUUUAUGGAAAACCAUGGUUGACAAUCUUUAACUCUGCUGAACAAUGGACCAGAUAAGCAAAUGGAGUUUUUCGUGGGGGGAGGUAUUUUUAGAUUCUCUUCCCACACAAGUCAACGCGGCAAAGCUUGGCGCAGCAGCGCCAAGUUUAAAAGGAAAGUUGAAGAAACGCGUCGACCGCCACUUCUCUGUUUAGGCUUUUGUCAGGGCAGAGAUUGGUCAGAUUCUGUUAAUAACUUUUUAAGUUUACCAUUACAAAGGCUUAUUGUGCAGGACCGCUAAACUACAUAAUUGCUCCAUAGAUAUUACUAUGGUGUACCAUGCUGCUGUUCUAGUGUUGUUUUGAUCGAUCACUCACCGUGAGGGAAAUUGGUUAGCGAGAUUGACAGUUAUGUUUAUAUAUGAUAGAAGUUUCCUCAUAAUUUUAGAUAGUGAGUUCAUGUGUACCGUGAUAAUCGGUAGACACGUAGCCUCUGCUCAAAUGCCAACCUUCAUUGUUCACUCGUAAUGUGGAAUAGUACUUUGACCGUUGACGUCAACGUCAAUGUGGUUAUUUAUUCCCAGGAUGGUGCC